rnacentral:rRNA from 1 species
CCUACGGGUGGCAGCAGUGAGGAAUAUUGGUCAAUGGGCGCAAGCCUGAACCAGCCAAGUCGCGUGAGGGAUGAAGGCCCUACGGAUUGUAAACUUCUUUUAUAAGGGAAUAAAGUGCGGGACGUGUCCCGUUUUGUAUGUACCUUAUGAAUAAGGAUCGGCUAACUCCGUGCCAGCAGCCGCGGUAAUACGGAGGAUCCGAGCGUUAUCCGGAUUUAUUGGGUUUAAAGGGUGCGUAGGCGGGUUGUUAAGUCAGCGGUGAAAGUUUGUGGCUCAACCAUAGAAUUGCAGUUGAAACUGGGAGGCUUGAGUACAGUUGAGGUAGGCGGAAUGCGUGGUGUAGCGGUGAAAUGCUUAGAUAUCACGCAGAACCCCGAUUGCGAAGGCAGCCUACCAAACCGCCACUGACACUGAUGCACGAAAGCGUGGGGAUCAAACAGGAUUAGAUACCCGAGUAGUC